AGCGGGCAGGAUGGCAGCGGACGGAGGGGGACCUCCGGAUGAGGAAAGUCCGGGCUUCGCAGGGCAGGAUAGCUGCUAACGGCAGCCGAAGGCGACUUUAGGGAAAGUGCAACAGAGAGAUACCGCCGGGGAAUUUUCCCCGGUAAGGGUGGAAAGGCGAGGUAAGAGCUCACCGGGGUGCGGGAGAUCGCACUGCCAUGUAAACCCUAUCCGAAGCAACACCGUGACCGCAGAAGGAGAGCGGCGGCCCGUCGCGCCUUUUGGGGCGAGAGCCAACGGUCUAUGUGGCUUGAACCGCCGGGCGACCGGCGGUCUAGAUAGAUUGUCAUCACAACAGAACCCGGCUUACCAGCCCACUC
rnacentral:RNase_P_RNA from 1 species